ACAUUUAAUUAGGUUGCUGAAAUAAAUCUCUUCACCUGUCAUGCUGUCUCGAAUGACCUCCUCAUCGAGUUUCUAAUCGAUAUCCGACCUCACUUUUUCUUACCGUUAGCAAGUUAGCUAACGUGUCAAACGUACCCAGCAACCAGGCAUACUGCUCCCGUAAUCAAGUUUCCUGCUGGAGUGGGGCUGCUGAUUCUUGUCUAUGUCUAGCCCAUGAUGACUGGUUGAAAGGACAUUACAAAAUAGGCUACGUCAAUUCACCACAAGUCAAAAUCAGAUCAACAGACAGGGACAUCGGCCAGAUAUGCCAUAACAAGAAAAAAUGGUGUUUUGCCCCUGCGGUUGUGAAGAGGAUGCUGUGGAGGUGGCAGCAUGAACGUGUCACACAGACAUUGGCUAAACUACUCGGCUUCUACACUUGCCCUCAGAGUUCACAUAUGGUUAAGUGCACAGGUGGCCAGCCAGGUUCAGACUGAUACUGGUAACAAGAGGAAAACAUGCUGAUUGGAAUGAUUCAACGAUGGACAUUUUGCUUAAUUGUGGAAAAAAUAAAUGGAAAAACGUC